rfam:Gossypium raimondii Chr09_contig_447, whole genome shotgun sequence.
CUUACAGAGUUCAUUGGCAUUCUGUCCACCUCGCACUAUCAUAGAACAAGUCCUUCCUUUUCUUCUAUGGUCUUUCAUGGAGGUGGGCAUACUGCCAACUGAGCUCUGUUGG